CACCUCUCAGGCUUACACCUGGACAGUUUCCAGUACUCUACCAGUCUCUGGGAGGGAAAGUCAAGCAGAGGCAUAUCCACUCCAUUCCUAGCUUGGGCAGUGGCUAGCGAGUGGAAGGCAAUCUGCUACAAGU